UACGGAGGGUGCAAGCGUUAUCCGGAUUCACUGGGUUUAAAGGGUGUGUAGGCGGGUAUUUAAGUCAGUGGUGAAAUCUCCAGGCUCAACCUGGAAACUGCCAUUGAUACUAUUUAUCUUGAAUCCUGUUGAGGUGGGCGGAAUAUAUCAUGUAGCGGUGAAAUGCUUAGAUAUGAUAUAGAACACCGAUUGCGAAGGCAGCUCACUAAGCAGGUAUUGACGCUGAGGCACGAAAGCGUGGGGAUCAAACAGG
rnacentral:rRNA from 1 species